rnacentral:lncRNA from 1 species
CAGACGAGCAACUAACAUAAUAAACUAUUUCUGAUUUCUGCACAUAAAAAUUAGCACGGGAGGCGAGUGAUGCUUAUCGGGACAGGACAGGAAUGUUAUAGAACUGUUGCAGGAUCAGGACAACACGGGAAAAAAACUGACAGUACAAGACAGGACAUUAAUUGAUUUUCACUCCCGUGGGGAGGGAAGAGAGAAGGAAAGAAAGAGAGGGAAGGUUCCGCUCAGGGUCUCCCCCCGUCUGAUGGCAACACCGCCGCCCUGACAGUAGCGUACCGGUUUUCCAAAGCUGCCCACUUCAUUCCUCUCCCCAAGCAUCCCUUUGCCAAAGAGAUGGCCCAGCUCAUGGUG